ACAUUGGAAUGGACCCUGUUCUUUCAAUUGAUAUAGUGAACAUAUCUAGGCACAUAGUCAUUAGGCUGGGUACCUUCUGCAAGAGGCAAAGUUUAAUUUCCCAUAUCGGAAUGAAUCUAGCAAUCACAUCUCUAAUAGCAAUGUGUGUAUAAGGCAUGAAUGCCCACUGUCCACCACUACCGAACACCCAUGCCUUUUGGGGUUCAGAGCUCCCAACACAGCCCAUGUGCUAUAGCAACAGAUACUACAGAACAAUCUAAUCUCUUGGAUACAAAUACAUUUUAUUGGGGUUUUCAUAAGACUUUACUGGCAAAUUCUCACCACUUCAAAUAAGAACAAAACAGAUGUAUGCAUUGGACAGGGGGGUUGACAUUGUCAGGAGGAUGGAUAAAUCAAAGUCUAAGUGCCUAGAUUUUAAGUAUAAAGUAUUUCCUUGGGUUAUAUGCAUGAUGGUAAAUGGUCUGCUUUAUUUAAAUUGAACAGCCUUGUAAAUCUUUUCUCUUUAUAGACAUAUCUUACAUGUAAACUCACUGCAGCAACACAUCAUUCGAUCCUGCAAAGACUCAAGAAUGCACAUACUUUUAUUUAUUGAAAUUCUAUUGAAGAAGCUGCAAGAGAUGGAAGUUCCAAAAAUCAAGAUGAACCUGCCAACCACAGUCCUGGUCGUGGAAAGUAACUUGGGGAAAAACAAACAGCAUCCCCAGGGAACAUACGCUCAUCACUAACUUCGCCAUCUUCUGGAUUUGUGGUGGAUCCUGGGCUGAAGAGGCUUUCAGAGGGCCUCUGACCCAGCAAUGAAGAUUUUAACAAUUUACCUGAACAAAAGUUUAAGACUGUUACUCUCAGAGUUUCUGUUUUGGAGGAUAAAGUCUCAGCAUUAGAGGCUUGUUGUAGUACUUAGUGAAGUUACGAAAGAAAAUAAAGAAGUAAAGAACAGGAUGGACCUCUUGGAAUACAUGCAGUGUGCAAGAAAUCUAAGUAGAGUUGGUGUUCCUGUGUUCUUUUGGCUUGAAAGAUCCUACAGCAUCCUUUUCCAAACGGGUGCCUGCAACACUGGGAUUGACUUCCCUUGAGAUUUUUCUUCUAAAAUCAAACGACUCCUGAGUCUUUACUUUGGAUGGCUAGUUGUGGUAGGAAAAUGCUAUCAUUCACGUUUCACAGCUGAGGAAUUGAAACACCGAAAGACUGACUUGUCCAGGUUAUCUGUGGAAGAGCAAGGGAUCCAGAAGCUGUCAAAGUAGCUGACACCAAAAAAGAGGGAGAGUAAUUCAGGUGAGAAUUACCAGAGUCAUUCAGGUGAGAAAUUCAGAGCUCUCAUUGCAGUUAUGCCUUUCUACAACAAUGCCACCCGGGAUGCUGCUGGAAAUUGAAAAUACUCUAAUGGCCAGCCAAACAAACCAAGUCCAAACACUCAUCUCGGUAGGCCAGAUCCUGAUCCAGGAAGGAGGACAGCUUAGAAGAGAUGGUGUCCAUCUCACCAAGAAAGAGGGGAGCAUCUUUACAUACUGACUCACCAACCUAAUGAGGACUGUUUUCAACUAGGAUCAAUGAGGGGCAGAUGAUAAAAAUCCACAGGAGUGUUAUAUGUAAGACCUCAGAGAUAAUUGUCCUGUCCUGCUUGGCACUGAUGAGGCCUCAGGUGGAGUACUGUCUUCAAUUCUGGCUGCCACACUUCAGGGAAGAGGAGGCUAUUGGAAAGAGUACAAAGCAGAGCAACAAAAAAUAAUAAAAGUUUAGAAAAUCUAAUCUCUGAACAAAGGUUAAACACACUGGGCAUGUUGCAUCUUGAAAAAAGACAGAGGGUGGAGAUGAAAAGAACUGUCAAAUGUCAAGGGCUUUUAUAAAGAGGACUGAUCAGUGAUUCUCCAUGCCCACUGUAUGCAAGACAAGAAAUAAUGGACUUUAUCGGCAGCAAAGGAGAUUUACAGUGAUAUUAGGAAAAGCUUUCUAACUAUUAUGCCAGUAAAGCUCUGGAAUAGGUUUACAGGGGAUUUGUGGAAUCCCCAUCAUUGAAGGUUUAUCAAAGAGAUGGGACAAACACCUGUUGGAAGUAUUCUGUGUUUAUUUCAUGCCACCUCAGUGUAGUAGUUGAGCUAGAUGACCUUUUGAGGCCCCUCCCAGCUGUGUAUUUGUAUUAUUUACUAGUUACUCAUUUAUGAAUUAAACUAGAAUUUGUACUGACAUUGUUCAUUCACCACAUGCACUGUUAAAAAUGUCCCUCCUGAGAAGGACUACCUCUGAUUCCAAGGAGGAGUGACAUGAUUUUGAAGUCAGGGCAUGGCCAUGUGGAUUUCACACCCUUAGAUUGAAGUAUACCACUCCAGUCAGCAAAACUCUUUCUGGAGAUGGAGUCACCACCUUGCACUUCACUCAAGGCCAGUGGGCUGCUUGCAAGUUGUGGAGCAGGGCAGGGCUUGUGAUCUCUCCCACUCAGUAGCUGUUUAUGUGACUCACUGCAGGCUGGGAUGCUCAGGUAUGCUGUUGUGCAGAUCUUCAGAAAUGAUAGGAACGGGACCCUUUGUUAUCCUUUCUUCUCAUUCUCUGGUCAUCGAUGCCAACAGCAGCCAAAACAUAUUGAAACCCAAAGGAAGAACAACAUUGGUUAAAUAGCCAUAUUAUUUUAAUUAAAACAGAGAAAGUUUCUCUCUGAGUCAUUGCUUAUGCUACUGUAUCAUAGCAACAUUGUUUUGGUGUUUAUAUAAAUCCCAGUUAAUCAACCUUUAGUUAGCCCAAAUUCCCGGUGAACUAAGGAUCAAUCAUGCUUCUCUAUCCUAAACCUUAUUUUCCUAAAGGGUUCUUAAGUCUCUGAAACUCUUAAGAAAAACAGGCUUAUACGUUGCUUGAAAUAAACAAUUUUUGCAGUGGAUCAGACAUCUGAUCUUUGCCUUGGUGUUUAAUGAGCUUCAAGUACUGUUUAUUGUUCUGUUUGUUUCAGUGCGAUCCAAGAAAUGGCAUCAAUCACUGAUAAAAUAGGAAGAUCAAAAAGCACCUUUUUGGUGUAUUAUCACAGUAAACAAGACUCCUUUUUUAUCUUGUUCAUAUUUCCAACACACUGCCAAAAUAUUUUGUUUCUUUCAUCCACUGAGAUAAAAAGAGCCUGUAGACAAAAAUGCUCCAAAGAUGGAAUGCCAUAAUGGGAAUUUCCUGAGAGGAGGAGCUCUCCUGUUGGUGAGGAUAUUUUUAGGGGGAUACCUCUUGAGUCAUGUAGAAGACAACCCCUUCACCCACUGGUCCAACAUAUACACGCAUCACUUAAUAAUUUUCUUGUCUUUGAGGGAAAAGGCUGCCCAGGAAAAGGCAAUAUUUGAUAAAUUAUAUAUGCUACCUGUACUCAAAAACAUUGUCAGGACCCUAUCCAUUUGCUUACUCCUACAUGACUCCUGGAAAUCCAGUACAGUGGUCCCAUCAAUAAUUAGUGAUAAAGAUUAACAAAAUGAAAACCUACCAGCAGAUAGAGCCCACUCUUUACUCAUCUUCUGUAUUUGUACUGUUUUCCAUUCUCCCACCAUGCUGGAGAGUAGAUAUUGAAAAAAAAAAAAAAAAGCUCUGUACACAGGGGUUCUGAUGUCCUUCCCAUUCCAUUUCCUUCCCUAACUAUUCCUCAUUGGAUCCCAUUGCCAGUGCUACUCCCACUCUGUGCAGAGAUUCUUUAACUGAUCUUGCCGUCUGUUUUCUCUAUGGCAUUCUGUCCACAUACUAAAGCUCUGAUGGCUUCAGUUACUCCAGGCUUCCCUCGUUUCCUUCCUUCCUGGCCCGGAAAUAUCUUUGCUUCCUACUCCAUCUACAGCUUGCAUCCUAAACGGAACCUAUUGCAUGAAGUGGGAUGUGCCCAACAGUCAUCGUCCGCAAUGGAGAAAAGGUGGGGUAAAACUUUUACAAAACAGCAUUCUGUGUUCAGGUGGGGGAUGGGAAACAAAGGUUUCAUGUAAUGCUGAACUUCAAAACCUUAGCUCUGCAAGUAUUAUAGAUGAAUAUCCAAAGUGAAUACUAGGACAUGAGUGAAAGGGCAGAGAUAACAUCAUUUACAACAAUAGUUUCUAGAUACUUUGUUAAAUUUAUUUAACAUUGGGGGUCUCCUUAAAUGUUUGUGUAUGCCUCGUUUAGAGAGUUCAAAGAAUUAAAAAUAAGAUAUUUCUCAAGGUAAAGCUGUUUGUUCUGUUUUGUACAUGAGCUAGAGACCUUGCAAUGUGUACAUUUUAAGAAGUCAUUAAAUAAAUACUAUUUCAAAAACAUUCAUUGCUCAUUUCUGGCAAAACUUUCAGUAUGGUGUGUCGUGAUCCAAAACACUGUAAACGAAAGCUCAGAUCCUCAGUGAUAUUUAGAUACCUAACUCCUAUUUAAAUCAUUGGGAGUUAGGUGCCUGAAUAUUUUUCAUGAUCCUGGCCUAAACUUUCAAAGGACUCUCCAAACUCCACACUCAUAGAACAGUUCAGUGUUUGGAUAAUGCUUGUUUGUGUUCACUGAGGAGAUCUUUGCGUGU